AGCUACUCCAACCACAACAUCUUCUAAUCCAGUUUACAGUGUCAGUGUGCAGUUGAAUAAUGAAAAUUUCACAGUUGCACUAGCAGAUCCUGGAUCUCCUGAAUUUCAAGAGCUUCAGCAGCGAUUAAUAUCUGCAUGUGAAGCUAUCUACAGACCAAGAUUUCCCGAUCGUUUUGUCGGAUGCACUGUUCUAGGUUUCAGUGCUACAACCACAAGACAAGAAGGGGUUACAGCAAAUUUGGGAAUUGUUUUUAAUGGGACUGCUUCAGCUGGAAACCUCCCAACAAAUAAUGCUGUUUCUAAUGCUCUUGUUGAGGCUGCAAGUAACCCAAAC